AAUUUAUACAGUACAUCGGCCUAAACUCAUACAAAUAGAAUUCUUAAAUGUUAAGAAACAAAAUAUAAUAUAAAGUAAUAGAAGAAAGGUUGUCUAACCAUUCUGGCAAUGCUUCCUCAAAUUCCUCUCCCUCGAAAUAAAGUAUACACAAUUCCUCGAGGGCAGUGAGGUGUUGAAGUUGAUGCGGAAAAUUCCUCGAGGGCAGCCUAAAAUUCCACAUAUCUCCAAUUGAGUUUAAAACUCCUGCAGGAAAAGCCUCCAUCUCCUCUGAGAAACCACCACCGAUGCUCAAAUACUCCAGUUGGGUGAGGCCGCCUAAGCAAUCAUCCUCUGGGAAAUCACUCAAACUGUAUAAAUGGUAGUGUCCUGCAAUGGUGGUUAUGUAUUGAAAUCAUGAAAAAGAAAAGGAAGAGAGAGAGAGAGAGAGAGAGAGAGAAGGGGAUUGCAUUGAUUAAUUGAUCAUUAAUUCUUUCAGCAUUUCAUAAUCAUGCUUUCUGUUACAAUUUGUUGCACAUAUAACAUCUUAGCAUUCUAGUAGAAAGAAAGAAAAUUCAGUCUACUUUCCACACACAAUGCGUAGUAAGUAAGUGAGGUGCAACGUUUUUAUUAUUAUUAUUAUGAUUGAUGGCUAAUUUUGAUAUUACUCUAAAUUCAUAUGUAUAUAAAGUAUUUAAUUUUAAGAUUUAGUGAUUUGUUUUAAGAAUCAUAAUUGUAUAUAAAGUUGAUGAUUUUAAAAUAAAUAAUACUGCAUAGACAAAUGCAAUAAAUAUGCAAGUUAAAUUAUUUUGUAAGAAUGAUAUUAGAAUAAUGCUGGAUGGCUAUUGAUAUUAUCAUUGAUAUGUGUAUAUUUUGAUACAUAGUAAAAUUAAGCUAAUUAAUAAUGGCAUGCGAUAGACAGUGUCCCUCCCAAUACAUUCCACAUAAAUAAGUAUAAAUUUGGUUAGCAUAAUAAUAAAAAGAUAAUAAGAUAUUAGUCUCUAAUAAUUGCUUUAAUUUGAUUAUGAUUGAUUUGGUUGCUUUUGAUAUUACUCUAAAGAAGAAUGCUGGGAUAUGAGAAAAUAAACCAUUUUUAAAAGAAUGAAGUCUAAUUAUUGCUUUCAUUAUUUUGAAUUCUUUAAUUGGUUCUCUCUCCUCUCUGCAUACUACAAAGUAACGGAAUCAUUUAAGCCCCAACUUACCUGUACACGUCUACCCUCUAUCUUAUAUAGAUUUUUGGGAUAUGAGAAAUCUUGGGCCACUCAGAGCCAUUCUCCUUUCUACAAUUUUCUGAUAGAUGUGGACAUCCCCCCCAAAUCCGCAAUUCCUUUAAUUUGGAGAGGCGUUGAAUGGCUGUUGAGCUUGGCAGAUACUUGAGAUUCUUGCAAUUCUCAAUCCAAAGAGAUUGAAGGGAAGAAAGGUUGGCCAACCAAUCUGGCAAUGCUUCCUCAAAUCCCUCUCCACUGAAACCCUUUAUAUACAAUCUCUCGAGGGCAGUGAGGUGUUGAAGUUGGUGUGGUACACUCUUCAGUUUAUCCCACCCAUGUAUCGCUAGGGAUUUGAGGGACCCACUCAAGUUGAGGUGUUGGAAUGAGUUUAAAAGUCCUGCAGGAAAAGCCUC
rnacentral:lncRNA from 1 species